rnacentral:rRNA from 1 species
GACGUAGGGCGCGAGCGUUGUCCGGAUUUAUUGGGCGUAAAGAGCUCGUAGGCGGCUUGUUGCGUCAGCUGUGAAAACCCGCAGCUCAACUGUGGGCUUGCAGCUGAUACGGGCAGGCUUGAGUUCGGUAGGUGAGUGGAAUUCCCAGUGUAGCGGUGAAAUGCGUAGAUAUUGGGAGGAACACCAGUGGCGAAGGCGGCUCACUGGACCGGUACUGACGCUGAGGCGCGAAAGCGUGGGGAGCAAACAGG